rnacentral:rRNA from 1 species
CAGUAGCCGCGGGAAUACGUAGGUGGCAAGCGUUGUCCGGAAUUAUUGGGCGUAAAGGGCUCGCAGGCGGUUUCUUAAGUCUGAUGUGAAAGCCUCCGGCUCAACCGGGGAGGGUCAUUGGAAACUGGGAAACUUGAGUGCAGAAGAGGAGAGUGGAAUUCCACGUGUAGCGGUGAAAUGCGUAGAGAUGUGGAGGAACACCAGUGGCGAAGGUGACUCUCUGGUCUGUAACUGACGCUGAGGAGCGAAAGCGUGGGGAGCGAACAGGAUUAGAUACCCGUGUAGUCCCUGUCUCUUAUAA